rnacentral:lncRNA from 1 species
GUGGUGGCUGUUUAAAGCCUCAGAAGAUGAAAUUUUUAUCAAUAACACUUCUGUUGAAGGAUUAUGCCAAAAUGACAAGUUUUUACUUAUUUACCAAGUGCUAUUGUCAGUGCCUGUACCAAGAUAAUGACUUGUGGUAGCAACCCUGUAUGUAUCAGGGAAACAAGCAUUCCAGAAAAAUAGUUUUUAUUACCAGCUGGCACUAAUAGAGAGGAGACAUAAAGUUUUUAUUUGGACUAUGUGGACUCUUAAUGGAGUGCAAAAUUACCAGUUCUACUAUUAAAGUCUAAGGUGGAAAGACAUGUGAGUGUUAGAAAGAAAAAAACUAUUCAGCAAGACCAUCAUUCCUCACAACAGAAAGAAUUCCAUUGCAACUAUGUGAGUUUUGUCAGAUUUUUACAAGUUUUCUAGGAAGAGCUCCAGUGGUGUCCUGGCAGCCAAAUUUUGGAUGUCUCAAAGAUACUGCUGAUCAGUGGAUCUGUAGGAUGUUGUUCACCCUGAGGUUGGAGUGUUCUGUCAUAGGAAUAACCCCAGAAGCUAACAUGAUAACUCAUCUGCUUUUGUAAAGGUGGCCUUCUUGGUACUAUUUCUGUGACUGGGCCAGCUCUUUCUGCAUGACUAAAGCCUUCAUUUC